GGAAAUUUGGAUCCUUGGUGGCCAUCGGUGUUCCUGGCCACUGCGUACCCACCCAAUCUAGGAUGCUAGAAAAAGGUCUAGCAAUUCCUCAUCAUUAUAAACUGGUUUUAAUUACUCAGGCCACAGGAUCGCUAAUCGACCGCCAUCGUUAAAUUUAGCGGAAUUUGGAGAUGUAUGUUAAUGGACUGGCCAACUUCGUGGCACCAGUCGCUCGCGAGGGAAAUUGGCCACUAUCGGAGGCACCCCGACGCGGAACGGACUCACCGGAGAUCUGGAGUCCGAGAAUGUGAACUGGGU